AGAGUUUGAUCCUGGCUCAGAGCGAACGCUGGCGGCGUGCUUAACACAUGCAAGUCGAGUGCGCGUCCGUAGCAAUACGGAUGGCGCACGGCGCACGGGUGCGUAACACGUGGGCAAUCUGCCCUCCGAUGGGGGAUAACCCGCCGAAAGGCGGGCUAAUACCGCAUGACAUUCCGGGGACUCCGGUCCCUGGACUCAAAGGCCGCAAGGCCGUCGGAGGAGGGGCCCGCGCCCGAUUAGCUUGUUGGCGGGGUAACGGCCCACCAAGGCUAUGAUCGGUAGCCGGUCUGAGAGGAUGGCCGGCCACACUGGAACUGAGACACGGUCCAGACUCCUACGGGAGGCAGCAGUGGGGAAUAUUGCGCAAUGGGCGAAAGCCUGACGCAGCGACGCCGCGUGGGGGAUGAAGCUUCUCGGAGUGUAAACCCCUUUCGACCCGGACGAAUGACCCGCAAGGGUUUGACGGUACGGGUAUAAGAAGCCCCGGCUAACUACGUGCCAGCAGCCGCGGUAAUACGUAGGGGGCCAGCGUUGCUCGGAAUUACUGGGCGUAAAGGGUUCGUAGGUGGUGCGGCAAGUCGGGAGUGAAAUCUCUGGGCUUAACUCAGAGGCUGCUUUCGAAACUGCCGUGCUCGAGUGCGGGAGAGGCCAGUGGAAUUGCAGGUGUAGCGGUGAAAUGCGUAGAUAUCUGCAGGAACACCCGUGGCGAAGGCGGCUGGCUGGACCGCAACUGACACUGAGGAACGAAAGCUAGGGGAGCAAACAGGAUUAGAUACCCCGGUAGUCC
rnacentral:rRNA from 1 species